AGUGGAUGGUUAACCGGGAUGCGAGGAGCUGCUGUGGGCAGAGGCCCCAUCGGGGGGGGGGGAUUUUUUUUUUCUGCCUCUCUGGAUCUCCCUCUCCGCCCCCUGUAAUGGGGGGGGGAACGGAGGGGGGGAGCCUCAGGGGGCAAGACCUGGGUUCAAGUCCCACUUCCACCCCUUGCUGACGCUGGGUCUCUUGAGGCUUAGUUUGCUCUUCUGGGAAAGGGGACUGGUGUGUCCCCCCCCCCGCCCGCCCUCGGGAUUGUGGGGGCUACAAGCCAAGAGGCCGCUCUCCACAAACCUUUGCCCUCCCAACGCUAAGCAUCUGGACACCCCGUCUGCAACCAUGGAGUCAGACAACUGAGUGUGAGGACUGCCUCUGCCCCAGUGGCUUUGGAGCUGCAUCUGAUCUCUCUGGGGCUCGGUUUCCCCUCUGAGUCAUGGGGAUGAUGGCUGAGAGGGUCCGCUUGCAACAGAGAGGUCCUUCUGUCCGGACCUGGGUUUCGAUCCUGACGCCCCCACUCACAGUGUCUCGGGUGAGUUUGGGCCUCUCCCAGAGCCCCAGUUUUCUCGUGAGAAAUGUGAAAAGAAUGGUUGGUUCCUCUCCCAGCCUCGCAGGGCUGUGGUGGGACAUCAAGAAGAUGAGACCCUGGGUCCUGAGGUGACCGCAUGCCGGGUGACUGUGGGUGACCCACUUCCCCUUUUGGGGUCCAUCUGGCUGGAUGAAUGGGUGGCAGGGGCCCCAUCCUGCUGGGACAUUCUAGAAGGCCGGCACGGGGCUUCCCAGGGCGGGAGGGUCAGGGACGGGCAGAGGGAAGAGGUGUCUGCUGGGUUAGGGGAAAACCAGCCUUCCCCAUCAUAAAACGGAUGACAGGAGGGAAACAAACAAGACCGGCUCCACUGGGGCGUGAGGGGAAGUUGGUGGAGAGGAUAAGGGGCCCCUCGAGGUGGGUGAAAACCACAGUCCGCAACUUGUGCCAACUUCCCUCCCGGAGCCUGUGUGCCUCGGGGUCCAGGGCGACGGCUGGAUCACUGUCCUCUGAAAUGCCACGCACCUCCAUUCCAGCCUCCCCCUCCAUCCCGCUCCACCGGCGGCCUUCCAGCUUCAUGCGCCUCCGCUGCUGCCACAGUUCCAUCCUGUACCGGGUGUGUGGGGGGGGCACUCGCCUCUUCUUUCGCUCCCCCUGCAUCCAGCCCAUCAGCAGAGGCCACUGGCUCCACCUUCAAAGUCUCUGCUCACCUCCGAGGCCGCCAUCCUGGUCUGGCUGCCUUCACCUCCUGUCAUCACUGCUGUCACCUCCAUACUGGGUUCCCUGUCCUUACAAGUGCCUUCAACAGUCUCUUCCAACAGGGGGCCAGAGGGAUCCUGUUAGGACCGGAGCCAAAGCCCGUCCAGCCCCUGCUCAGAGCCCUCCUGGGGCUCCCACCUCCUUUGAGGUGACGGCCAAAGUCCACUGGAGCCUUCAAGGGCCCGCAUGAACUUUGUCCCCCCUCUGCUCUUACCUCCCCACUUUCCCACCACCCUGCACUCCCUCCACAUCUGCCCUCCUGCCUCCUAGCCUUGGCACAUCCUGUGCCCUCCAUUUGAAAUGAUUUUCCUGCUGACUUUCCACCCAGCUCCUCUGAUCCUUCAGGUCUCACCUGUGAUAGGCUGAAUAAUGCCCCUCUCCAAAGAGAUGCAUGUCUGAAACU
rnacentral:lncRNA from 1 species